rnacentral:rRNA from 1 species
UACGGGGGGGGCAAGCGUUGUUCGGAAUUACUGGGCGUAAAGGGCGCGUAGGCGGCCCGCUAAGUCAGACGUGAAAUCCCUCGGCUCAACCGGGGAACUGCGUCUGAUACUGGCAGGCUUGAAUCCGGGAGAGGGAUGUGGAAUUCCAGGUGUAGCGGUGAAAUGCGUAGAUAUCUGGAGGAACACCGGUGGCGAAGGCGGCAUCCUGGACCGGUAUUGACGCUGAGGCGCGAAAGCUAGGGGAGCAAACGGG